rnacentral:lncRNA from 1 species
GAGACCUAGCUAGUAACACGGAUCUAGCCUCCCUGCUGCCCACUUUAGACUGGGUGUGAACUUCUCUGUUCAGCUCAAUCCCACCUCUCCAUCUUCAUUCAUCCAGAUUAUCUGCCAGGCCCCGUAGACAUCUGAGUUUGCAACCUCUUGUCUGAAUGCACUAGAAAACUCACAAGCAGCCAAGACUCAAGCCACUGUUCGUUGACAGCUCAGAAGAAGACUUCCUUGGCAAAGCCCAGUGGCUCUUUGGGCAGGAUUUCACCAUUUUAUAUGGCCUUCUAAGCCCUUAAGACCAAGUCCCCGAAAAAGAUGAAAACUCUAAUUCGAAAAGAUCCAUGCACCCCUGGUGUUUAUAGAACCACUCUUGACAAUAGCCAAGACAGGGAAGCAACCUAAGCAUCCAUCAACAGAUGAAUGGACAAAGAGAAGGUACAUAUAUACACAGUUGAAUACUACUCUGGCAUAGAAGAGAACAAAAUAACGCCAUUGACAGCAACACAGAUGGACCUAGAAAGUCUCAUACUAAGUGAAGUAAGUCAGAGAGAGAAAGACAAAUACCACAUGAUAGCACUAUGUGGAGUCUAAAAAAUAUAUGAUGUAGGAGUUCCCGUUGUGGCGCAGUGGUUAACGAAUCCGACUAGGAACCAUGAGGUUGCGGGUUCGGUCCCUGCCCUUGCUCAGUGGGUUAACGAUCCGGCGUUGCCGUGAGCUGUGGUGUAGGUUGCAGAUGCAGCUCGGAUCCCGCAUUGCUGUGGCUCCGGCGUAGGCCAGUGGCUACAGCUCCGAUUUGACCCCUAGCCUGGGAACCUCCAUAUGCUGUAGGAGUGGCCCAAGAAAUAGCAAAAAGACCAAAAACAACAACAACAAAAAAAGAUAUAAAUGAACUAACUCAUUUAUGAAACAGAAAUAGACUCACAGACAUAGAAAACAAAUUUAUGGUUACCAAAGGGGAAAGGCGGGGGCGGGGGGAGGGUGUAAAUUAGGAGUUUGGGAUUAACAGAAACACACCACUAUAUAGAAAGUAGAUAACCGACAGGGACCUACUACACUGCACGGGAAACUAUACUCAGGAUCUUGCAAUAACCUCUAAUGGAAAAGAAUCUGAAAAAAAUAUAUAUUUACUUAUAACUGGACCACAUUGCUGUACACCCGAACUAAAACAACCCUGUAAACCAACGGUACUUCAGUGUAAAGCAAAAGAAUCACAGUAGCUUAAAAAAAAAAAAAGGAAAAAUAAAAUGCAACAAAAUAAAAAACUCGGUCUCCUCAUAGUCACACAGCCCAGGUGUGAUGGUCUUUGCGGCCCUUGGUGCAAAGGCUGGCAAAAUAUGCUCUAAAAGUACACAGGGAGAGAAAUCUCGGGCUCGGGAAAGGCCCGCUUUACUUCCAAGCAGAGAAGUCAGUUGGCUUUUGUCCCCCGUAAAACUGUUCCGAUAAUGACAGGAACAAUGGUCAUAACAUUAACGACACUUGCCUCCUUAAGAUAAGUUGCUGUAUCUUGGAUAAAAAGGUAACCCUAUAUCUAGACGUGUUUAAUCCUUGCUCUAAAUGUAUACAAUGUUUCAAUGCCAACACAUUUAUGAGGAAGUUUUAUGGAGUUAUUGGAUUUUAUGGAGUAAUCUGGUUCAGAGAUACAAAGGACAUUCUUCUGC